UUAGGUUGGAUGAAGAAGGAAUCUAACCGGAAAAAAAAUGUAUGAAAAUUUGGCACAGAAAGGAGAUAGAAGUACUACAGUAGCAACACCGUUAUAAAAAUGGACGGAAAAGGUAGACCGUUAAUUCUCAUUAUUAACCUUUCACGUGUUAAAAUUAACCGUAGUAAUAAGAACGACGUCACCAAACUAAACCCCCAAAACCCUUAAAACUCAUUUGUUCCUUUUCCCUCUACUGUUUACUUCGGAGUUACCACACUUCAAUAGAAAAAAAAUGGCAUCAAAAAAACCAUGGAGAAUAAUUCCAAGACCCCUCCUAGAAACUAUUCUCAACAAUCACGCUCAACACCACCGUGUCCAUCAACCACUCAUCCUUCACGGCCCCAGAGGCGUCGGAAAAACCACCCUCAUUCUUGAACGUUUACUCAACAACUGGAACAAAGGUCCUCACAUCACCGGUUACGUCGAUUUCGCCCAAACCAUUAAAGCCCAUAACGGUCCAUCAUUUCCAUGGGACUCAUGGUCCAAUUCCCCACCUCCCAAUCUAUCCGACUGCCGGAAAAGCCUCGACCAAUGUCUAGAAGCCAUGGCCGAGAAGGCUCUCCGAUUGGGCGCCAUUACCUCACGUCAGAUAUUCACUUCACUUAACAAAUGGCACGGUCUCACUGGCGCGCUUCGGCGCGUGUUGCACACUCCUGAUUAUAAUAAGGCUUCCCCUGCUGUUCUGUGGGACCGUGCAGUUUUCGCGAUGUUGAGUCAGUGUAAUGCCGAGGAGAUCAAUAGGGUUUUGGGAUUUGGGGAAAAGGAGAAUAGUGUUUUGUCGGUUGAGGAAGCUUCGUAUUUUAAGGAAUCUGUGGUGGCGUUGAAGCUCGCGAAGAAAGUUAUUGAGAUUCAGCAAGGGUGGAGGGCGAAUGCUAUUGCUCAUAUGAAACGAACUGGUAAUUUUUCUAGGAGGCUCACGCAUUCUUCAACUGAUUGGCCUCUUUUGUUGCUGGAUUUGUUGUCACAGGCUGCUGAAAUUGAUCAUUUUCAGCCGAAGCUGGUUAUUAACAAUAUUGAAGUUCUAAAGCAUGCUAUCGAAAAUGACGAGUUUUCAGUCAGUGGACCACUCUAUCAUGAUAGUUUGAUAUGGAGAAUAAUUGCUUUGGGCGCUAAUGAGCAGUGUUUGCCUGUUAUCCUUGUGACAUCUGAUAGUUAUUAUUCAUACGAAGCUUUCUUGGAUUUUGGAUAUAUGGAGAUAUUCAUCUCGCGUGAGACCUUUGGGUGGACUCCACAAGAAGCUAAAAUGCAUAUGGUUGCCGACUAUUUUAGUCCUUCAGAAUGGAAUGUGAUUGCUGAGGUACUUGGGCCAAACCCUCGACAUCUAUUUGAACUUCAUGCUCUUAAACAAAGCAAUUAUUUGCAGAAGACAACAGCAGACAGAACUAGUACAUUCGAGGACAUUGUAGAUGCUUAUCUAGCAUAUUUACAGAUUUCUGUCGUGAAUCCUGCGUUGGAUAGAGCGUUGGAGAUCUUGCAAAACUUUGCAAUUGAUGUACGCAAUGGUAAGGUUUCAGACGACAAAUUACGUUUUGGUGCACCUUGGAGGCAUCCUCCACAUGUUGAUGACCCUAAAUUGCGCAUGGAGUGGGCAAAGAUUCAGUUGAUGGAUUUUGUUCAAUGUCUGGUUAAUGCAGACUUUGGGGUCAAUUACCGAAUUGAAUAUAGUGAAGAAAUAUUUGACGAUCCUUCUGCUGUUGCAUUAUUACAGGUGGGUCUGCUUUAUGCUCAACGUGACCCACCAUUCUUCCGGCCCAUAUCUAGAGGAAUUCAGAGGUGUCUAGUAAGAUGGCUUGUCCAGCAGCGGAUGCAACUCAGGUUCCCCCACUUGAUUCGAUUUCUGUGGCACAGAAUAAUACGGGGACGUUAUUAUCGCCAUUUGAUGGUACAAGUAGACGGCAAGUACUAGGUAGAGUACCAGAAAAGGUUUACCUUGAAAAGUGACAAAGUGAGGCAAGUCUUCUAUCGAUUUCAUGGAAAGGGCUUAUUCUGAUCUAGGCUACGUGCUUAAUUUUCAGGGAGUGAUCGCUCUACAUCUGGCUUCAACGAUCAAGAAUUUUCUGGUGCAUUGAAUUAAUUUUUUAUGAUACGAGGCUACAAUGUGACUAUACUUUUGAAGUAGAAAAUGUCAAGGACCCAGCAAUUCAGAUUGACUGAUUUUUGUGUGCCCGUUUCUAAUCUGAAAUUUAAGGAAGUAUUGAACAACACUGUUAUUUAUACAAGUUAAAGCAUAUUUCUCCGAAUCCUGGUGGGUUCACGGGGUUCCAAAUAGGUUUAUUUAUAAAAGAAGUUCUAUAUACGGUGAAAAAUAACUUGAUGUGGAUAUUGACAAUCAGGUAGAUUGUUUUACAAGUUGAUGUUGUACAGCGAGCUGGCCACUUCAGAUAUUGUUUCUUUGAUUACCACAUGUAUUGGUUAACAGUGAUUAUGAUGCUUUCUGUUGAAUAAAAAGUGAUUUGGGUGCAACUUAGGUACUGAUUAGCUCCUAAUUUGCACCUUGUUUGAUUGUAAACUACACUAUGAAUAAGAUACCAGUUUGCAGAAUAUAAACAAA